UUGACCUCGGAUCAGGUAGGGAUACCCGCUGAACUUAAGCAUAUCAAUAAGCGGAGGAAAAGAAACCAACAGGGAUUGCCUUAGUAACGGCGAGUGAAGCGGCA
rnacentral:rRNA from 3 species